rnacentral:lncRNA from 1 species
AGAGCACUGGGCACAGGACAAGCUUGCUACCCCUGGGUGUGGGGCUGAGCAGGCCUGGAAGAAACAAGGCUGCUGGGCUGAGCUUGGGGCCAGCCGCUCAUUUCACCAAGCUGAGCUGUAAUCACAUCCCCAGGUAGCACUGUGCCUUCAGAAUAUGACUGAGCAGCAUUAUGUCUGCAGUGCUAAGCAGGUGUGAUCAAUAGAUGGAGAGCUGUGACCAGCUGGGCUGUGAUGCGGAGCCUGCAACCAAGCUGCCUGGGGGAAAUUCAGGAGGCCAGCCAUCGUCUUUAACCAGGGCAGCCCCGAGAGUGUCUGCAAGGGCUGCAUGCCCUGAGUAGAUCCUCGCAGAUGCUGAUCAGGGUGUCUUCUGGGCUCCACCUGGCACAGAAAAGCCAGCAAAGCUCCAGGGGCUUCCCUUCUUUCCUGGCAGAGAAAGAGCAGGCAGAUUCAGAGCCCCGUGAGGCUGUCUUGAGCUCCACCGGGAUCUAGGGAGAGCCAGCAGCACCACCAAGAUAUUUACGUUGUGAACUGGUAAAAUCUGAACUGCAGAAUAUCAAUUUCCAGACAUUCUUCCUAGAUGAUGCCGUCUGCCACGGCAGGGACCUCUAUCACCCAAAGGGAAACAGCCGUCUAUCUACGAAGCUGUGAUCUCCCCUACAAGCAAGAGAACUCAAUUGCCAGGAGGUCUUUGCUUUUUCUGGCUUCCAGAGAAUGCAGAAAUUUCAAGGAGCCACUAUUGGGCUCCUUCCCUAUAGGAUGUUGGGCCAGGCAACAGAACAAACCUCCUGAGGCACUUCUACCUGGGAAUGCCCUCCUGAGGCCAAUGGCAGCCCUCUGAUGAAGAUACUAUAGUAUUUAUUUUUUGUACACGCUGGUGAUCAUCCAGUGUACAUCUCUGCUUAGUGAACCUUCAUGAACUGGAGGCUGAAUAUUCUCAUCCUGCAUUGAUAGAACCACGUAGGCUGGUUCUAGGCUGUUUUCUGUGCAACACUCAACAUGACAAUAAUAAUGAUGAUGAUGCUAAUGAUGAUUGUAAAA